rnacentral:tRNA from 1 species
UGUUCUAUGGCUUAGUUGGUUAAAGCGGCGGACUAGCGAUACGGGGUCGUGGAUUUGAAUCCCACCGAAACAA